UCACACUAUUUUGCCAUUUUGCAGACUCAAGGAACUCUGGCUCAGGACGAAGUGCAUGCUCAGGAUAGCUCUGAUUCUGGAUUGACAAAGAUGCAGAGCUCUUGCUCAGGCCAUUUGAGAGCUUCAUAAGCUUUUCAGACACAGUGCAAAGAAAAAGUUCAGCCACUGAAUAGAAGAGGGACUAAAACAUGCUAGCGACAGGAGUACCUGCAGACCCUGCUGCUACUAUCUUUUUCGAAGAUGGGAGGGAGGUCUAUCUUAGAUUAUCAGAUACAGUUAAUGCAAGAUCACAAGAAAAGGGAAACUAAGGAAAAACCAUUCAGUGAUUUGUGUAGGCGAGAAUGACUACAUUUGUUUUAUAUGCCACGUUGGCAGUGAACUUAUUUUUAUGUGUUCAGUGCCCGUGUUCUUUCCAUAAGAUGUGUCUUGGUUUGAAGGUACAUCAACCAUUUCCCUUCUCAAUCAUGCUUAUAUUUAGAGCUAUCUUGUUUUUGUUUAUUAUAUUACUUCAAUUCAGUAGUUUCAAACCAAUAUUGGUCUUGGUUGGUUCUGAAUUGUUUUCACUUUUCCUGAGUAGUCAAAGAAAAAUUGAUGGAGAUGAGGAUGAAACUUUACUUACUUGCAUUCAGUGUGAACACAAAUAUCAUGUUAGAUGCCUGAAAAAUAGAGAUGUGGAUAAAUCAAGAACCUUAUUUAUCUAGUGUUAAGAAAAAAUUAGCCAUAUUUUGCAUGAAAAAAAUGGCAGUUCCUCUUUAUGAGUUUGGUUUUGGCUACAUGUUAUUUCUUUAGAAACAAGAUGGUCAAUUUGGGCUGCAGUAUGGAGUUUUGCAGAGACAGUGUGAAAGGGUUGCUAGCCUCAUGGUCAUGGCCAGAAACAUAUCAGAUCCUAAGGUUCUCAAAAUCUUAUCUACCUUUUGUCGAAUUUAUGAUAAUUGUAUAUUAAGUUAUAAAUUGUCACAACUUAGUAAAAAUGUGCAUGAACUGAGCUAUAAAAAAAAUUAUAGAAACUACUUCAGUUAUAGAAUAAUAAUAGAAUAGACUAAAAAAACAGAUAUAAUGUUUUACUAUCACUUAUUUUCUCUGUUUUGUAGUGAUACCUUCUCCAGAGGAAAGGAAAACUAGAUGAAACUAGCACAAUGUAUGAUAAAAACAUUUAGCCUUAACAUGAACACCUUUGGUGGCCAAUCUUGGAUUGCCAUAUCAGAUUCCCCUGAAGACAUGGUUAGAAUCACAUCUAGGAAAACCACAACCUAAUGGCUAAUGGGGUGAUUCUUUGUGCAGUUUCAAGUUUCAAGGUGGGUAGAGUUUUGAUUUCUCAUGUUAUAACUUCUUAUUGAUUGAGAUUUCUUUUUACAGCACCACUGUGUUGGCUUACCUUAAGAUAUAUAUGAUAUGAUACAUUUGACAAGUUUUAAUU